rnacentral:rRNA from 1 species
AGAGUUUGAUCAUGGCUCAGAGUGAACGCUGGCGGCAGGCCUAAUACAUGCAAGUCGAACGGCAGCACAGCAGAGCUUGCUCUGUGGGUGGCGAGUGGCGGACGGGUGAGGAAUACAUGGGAAUCUGCCCAGUCGUGGGGGAUAACGUAGGGAAACUUACGCUAAUACCGCAUGCGCCCUUCGGGGGAAAGCCGGGGACCGUAAGGGCCUGGCGCGAUUGGAUGAGCCCAUGUCGGAUUAGCUAGUUGGCGGGGUAAAGGCCCACCAAGGCGACGAUCCGUAGCUGGUCUGAGAGGAUGAUCAGCCACACUGGAACUGAGACACGGUCCAGACUCCUACGGGAGGCAGCAGUAGGGAAUAUUGGACAAUGGGCGCAAGCCUGAUCCAGCCAUGCCGCGUGAGUGAAGAAGGCCCUCGGGUUAUAAAGCUCUUUUGUCCGGAAAGGAAAGCGCCGGGUUAAUACCCUGGUGUCCUGACGGUACCGGAAGAAUAAGCACCGGCUAACUUCGUG